CCUACGGGAGACAGCAGUGAGGAAUAUUGGUCAAUGGCCGGAAGGCUGAACCAGCCAAGUCGCGUGAGGGAAUAAGGCCCUAUGGGUCGUAAACCUCUUUUGUCAGGGAGCAAAGGCGUCCACGAGUGGACGAAAGGAGAGUACCUGAAGAAAAAGCAUCGGCUAACUCCGUGCCAGCAGCCGCGGUAAUACGGAGGAUGCGAGCGUUAUCCGGAUUUAUUGGGUUUAAAGGGUGCGUAGGCGGGAUGCCAAGUCAGCGGUAAAAAUGCGGUGCUCAACGCCGUCGAGCCGUUGAAACUGGCGUUCUUGAGUGGGCGAGAAGUAUGCGGAAUGCGUGGUGUAGCGGUGAAAUGCAUAGAUAUCACGCAGAACUCCGAUUGCGAAGGCAGCAUACCGGCGCCCUACUGACGCUGAGGCACGAAAGCGUGGGUAUCGAACAGGAUUAGAUACCCGUGUAGUC
rnacentral:rRNA from 1 species